rnacentral:rRNA from 1 species
UACGUAGGGUGCAAGCGUUAAUCGGAAUUACUGGGCGUAAAGCGUGCGCAGGCGGUUUUGUAAGUCUGAUGUGAAAUCCCCGGGCUCAACCUGGGAACUGCAUUUGUGACUGCACGGCUGGAGUGCGGCAGAGGGGGGAUGGAAUUCCGCGUGUAGCAGUGAAAUGCGUAGAUAUGCGGAGGAACACCGAUGGCGAAGGCAAUCCCCUGGGCCUGCACUGACGCUCAUGCACGAAAGCGUGGGGAGCAAACAGG